AUUAAUCAUUUUCAGUUUACUGCUUGUGUUUUGGAAAAUAAGGCCCAAAUUGACACCUAUUACAGUCAACCUGUUGAUUCAGACCUAAUCCCUGACUACACACACACAGACACACACACUGAGAGAAAGCGAGAGAGUGAGGGAGAGGUUUAAAAGUAAAGAUCAAAGCUCAAACAGCUGAUUUUUUUUUUCAUAGGGCCGGAGGGUGCAGCUUUCCAGCAUUGAGCCGUCGUUUUGUUUACGAACGCACCUGAACGGACGGCAACUCCAGUGUGCAUGUGGGUUCAGAUUUCAGACCAGCCAAGAAAGGAAGCACAGUGUGCUCAUCAUGAUUUGCAUCUUCACCUGGCCCAAGAGUACUGAAGAUCAUGAUUAAUGUCCAGGGCUCCCUCGGGGUCACGCUCCUCAGCCUUGUCCCGAAUCGCAGAAAGAAUCAGAUUGUGAGCCAGCAGCUCUGAGAAUACUGGCAGAGAUUUUGACAGCUUGUUGAAGAAGAUGAAUGAAAAUAAAGCGAACAGCCAAAGGAGCUGAGCCAAGUGCUGGCAACUCGCUGUUCCACUGUUCAUCAGUAAUCUGUCAUCUGCAUUGAUUCCUUAAUCCAAGCUCACAUACAGUUUAAUGGUAAAACCGAUACUGAUCUAACACUGCACCAUCACCAUUCACUACACUGCUCAUUUUACUAAAUACAAACACAAAAAGGAAAUGUCAAUAACAAACACACAUCUUUUAUUAUUAUUGUUAUUAUUCUUUUUUUUUUAUUAUUAAUUUAAUUAAUGUUAUAUUUAUGAUGCAUAAAAAACAAAAUUAUUGAAUCAUAAAUCUGAAUUUACUUAUCAAAAUACUUUUCGUAUACUAUUAUUAAUUACAUAGACUAUUAGCCUUCAAUGUCUAUAUUUGUUAGUAAAAUCACUGAGACUUAUUUUAACUUAUUUUUAUUUUAUUUUAAAGGGUACAGCAGGUGUUUUAGUGUGAUAUAAAACUCAAUCCUGCAGUGCUAUUAUUCUUUAAACUCAGCUGUUAAGUGCAUCAUUUAAUUGUGUAUCAUUCCAUGUUGUGUUGUAAUACUGUACACAGCUGUGCACUGCUGUAUUUUAUCAGGGUAACAGAUUGUGUGUGGCUAUUUAUCUGAUAAGGUAGCAUGAUAAUUAUACUAUCUCACUAUAAAAAAUACUCUUUUUACAUCAACAACAUUCAUUGCAACACAAGUUAAUUCUAAUUAAUUCUGGUUAUAUAGUUACAAUAGCAAAAAAUGCUGUACAGUGAUCCAAAAAAUGCUGUACAGUGAUCCAAAUGUUUUCUAAAAAUCUAUAACUUGUAAGAAUGAAGUUUUGGACUAUCGAUUGGUAGUCCAGGUCCACCAAGCUGCCACCACUAUUAUGUGUGAGAGCAAUAUGAAGUAACAUAAGAAAAAUCAAACAGUAAGUAGAAGUACAGCAUUGGCAGACAACCUUAUCCAGCAAUCUUUUUUAUUUUUUUUCUCAUUUUAUGCAACUGAGCCUUAAGGGCCUUGCUCAUGGACCAAGCAUUGGAUACUUGAUGGACCUGUGAGUGGAACACAUGACUGUCUAAACAGUAGUCCAGCAAUUUGACCACUAAGCUACCACAUCCCAACAGUUGUGCAUAGUGAUCGAUGUCCAUACGGAAGACUCUAAGGAUCAAAGUGGGGCUCUAAGGAUUUUUUUCUGAAGUUUACUCCAAGUUAUUGAGUAACCAGGGAAACUGUAGAAUUUACAAACUCUAAACCACUGGCUAGCAUUUUUGAAAGUGAUUGUAACUGGCACUUAUGAUGUCAUUAUUUAAAGAUGUGCUAAUGAAAAGAAUAAUGCUAACGACAAAGCUACCUCAGAUUUCAUCAUCACCAUGCUUUUAUUGUUUCUGUAACACCAUCCACAAAAGGGUUAAAAAUUGUGGCAAAGGGAAAGUUUCCAACAGACAAA